rnacentral:rRNA from 1 species
AGGACGAACGCUGGCGGCGUGCUUAACACAUGCAAGUCGAGCGGAAAGGCCCUUCGGGGUACUCGAGCGGCGAACGGGUGAGUAACACGUGAGCAACCUGCCCUUAGCUCUGGGAUAGCUCCGGGAAACCGGAAUUAAUACCGGAUACGACCACAGCCGACAUCUGCUGUGGUGGAAAGGAUUCCGGCUAAGGAUGGGCUCGCGGCCCAUCAGCUAGUUGGUGGAGUAACGGCCCACCAAGGCGACGACGGGUA